CUGUCCCUCUCACAUCAUAGUAAGACCGGCGUCCUAAAUGUGGACCCCUGUUAAAUUUUUGGGGCUCCUGCUCCAAUACGAGGGGACAGUUUUUGUGUUGUCCGUGAAGGAUUAUACAAUUUCCCAUUUUCGCAGAGUGUGUUCUUCUUAGAGAAAAAUGACGAGGGUGAGGUAAAUGAGUGAAAUGGAGAGCUAAUCUUUUGAAUGAUUUCAACUAUUAUGAAUAUUUAGAGUUCGAUUUUGGUUUUGAUCUUUAAAUAAAGUUUUGUUAUUGCAAUGAAAUUCAAAUUUCGUUGGUUUUUUUGGGAUUUUUAUGUUGGGUUUUUACAGGAAUGUGAGUGAAAGGUGUAAACAUCUAUGAAAAUUUAGUUAGAUUAAAGUAAAGGGUUCUUGUUAUUUUCUCCAUCGAGUUAUAGAUUUCAAGAAAUUUGGAUUUAUAAACCUCUGUGUUUAGGCCUUUAGGGUUUUUAAUCAUUUAAUCAAUCUGUGUAAGUGUUGGAUUUAAGUCGGUUAGACUUUUAAAAUCCAGAUUUGGUUCUGUAAACAUCAUCUGUAUCAUUUGAUAACAUCAUCUAAUAUCUCAUUUUGAAUCUGUAUUUGGUUUAUCAUCUUCUAAAAAUCACAUCUUUAUAUCAUUUUGAAUGGAUUCCAAGUAUAAGGAUUUAGAAAACCUGGGGCACAUUUCACGGAGAAAGAUUCAGAGGAUCAACCAGUUCCACCACCAGAGGAAAUGAUAGAGAAUGGGAAUCCUGUGAAUGGAACUAUGGAAGAGGAAGAUGAUGAUGUUAUGUUGAAUGAAAGAAUUCGGAAGGAUGAUGAUACUACAAGUUAUAAUAGUGUGUUUAGAGAUUCAGAAAUGGGGGAUAAUCAUCAGCAGCAAUUUUGACCUUCUGUUGUUUUUUGAUCGAUGAGUGUUCAAUGAUUACAUGAUGCAGGCACACAGUUGCAAUUAAACCCAUUACGAAGAUCUGCAUCUCAAAAGCUCGAUUCUACUUUUUGAAUCCUCUCUUUCAAGAAAAAGAAGGAGCUUCCUCGAGAAAAUGGUGAAAAAGACUACCUGCAGCCGCAGCAAGAUGAUAUCCAUACCUGGAUCUUGAAACUGCAUAUGCAGCGCAAAUUUGCUUAACCUGGGAGGCUUUUCAGUUGCUAAGAGUAAGAAGAUAGAGAAGGAAGGAGAGCAGGAGGAUGAAUAAGAAGAGUCGGAUGAACCAGUCCUUGGCUCUGACCUUAUUGGAAUAAUCAAAACUUAGCAUCUGACCUUCCACGUAUUCUUGAAAAAGGAUAAGAAAAAAGAAAGUGAAAUUCUUAGUUUCGUUUGGAGGUCAGAAUCAUAUUGCAACUCCCCUUCAACUUUGUUCAAUGUGCCCUUAAUAAGGAACUUCAUAAAAAGAAGAAACGAUGGAAAAGAAUACAUGGCUUGCAACAAACGAAGAAGCAAAGCUGUUAUUUGGACUCAUUGACAUUUAAGUUCUAUCUACAAUUUGGAGUAUGAUUGCGAUCAGCAAGCAACAGGUGUGAAGUGAAAAUUCGCAAGUUAGAUGUAUCAGAAAACAAGCUGAAGAGAGAUAGGUCUCCAAUCUUGUUUCCUUGUUAAAGCAUAAGCUUUGAAGAUGGUUAAGAUAAGCAAGGAACAGUUGUUUUGGUGCGUGGAGAAAAUGAGCAAGUUAGAUGUAUCGGAAAGAAAGCAUAAGAGAGAUGGGCCUCCAGUCUUGUUCCCUUAUUAUAUCAUAAGGCAUGCAGUUGCAAUCAAACCCAUGUCCAGGGUCUGCAUCUGAAAAUCUCGUUUCUACUUUUUGAACCCUCUCUUUCAAGAAAAAGAAGGAGCUUCCUCGAGAAAAUGGUGAAGAAGAGUACCUGCAGCAAGGUGGUAUUCAUACCUGGACCUUGAAACUGCAUAUGUAGCGCAAAUUUGCUUAACCUGGGGGGCUCUUCAUUGUCGAUACACACAACUAAGCUAGAAAUUUUCGUCCGUGCUGCUCAGCUAUUUCUAGCCAUUGAGCAGCCUCCAAUCUGAAAUUUUUGCUGGAAAUAGAAGUUCCUUCACCAAGAUGCUUUAGGUUCCAAGCAUUAAAGUUGCUAAGAAGAUAGAUAAGGAAGUAGAGCAGGUGGAUAAAGAAGAAGAGUCAGAUGAACCAGUCCUCGGGGCGGCUGACCUUAUCGGAAUAGUCAAGACUUCUCUUCUGACCUUUCUCGUAUUUAUGAAAAUGGAUAAGAAAAAAGAAAGUACAAUGCGUAGUUUGUCUGGAGGUCAGAAUCGUAUUGCAAGUCCCCUUCAACUUAUUCAAUCUUCCCUUGAUAAGGAACUUCGCAAAAAGAAGAAAAGGUGGAGAAAGAAAACGUGACUUCCAACAACCGAAGAAGUAAAGCUGUUAUUUGGGCUCAUCGACAUUUAAGUUCUAUCUACAAGCUUUGAGGAUAGUUGGGAUCAGCACGGACAGUUGCUUUGGCAUGAGGAGACAAUGAGAGCCACGGCUAGGAAGACGGGGACGUAAUUCAGCAGCUCGUAAUGAUGUUCUGAUUCAUGGUUCAGAAGAAAAUAUUUAAACCAGAGGAAUUCCCCAAUUUGGCAGGACAAAAGGAUGGAUAAUUUUAGUUCUCAGUAUCUAUUGUAUUUGUUACAUCAUCUAGUGCUUCUUUACCCACCAAUAUUGUACAAGUGACUGGGAGUGAUUUUAACCCAGCCUGGGUAAAGUUUUUCUCUGUAAAUUGUCGACUUGUCUCGAGUUUGAGUCUUUGUCGUCAACAUGGUGAUGUUGUGUCAUGUUUUAUAGCCGGCAAACAUCAGUAACUGUCCAAAUGAGUAAACUCCAGAUGGUUUAAAAUCAAAUGUUGCUUGCGCUAGAUUUGAA